UUUCCGUAGGUGAACCUGCGGAAGGAUCAUUAAUAAAUUUUUUUUUGAAAUAAAAAAAAAUAAUAAUCAUCCUACCCUUUGUGAAUUUGUUUUGUUGAAUAAUUUUUAAAUUAUUUAUUGUCUAUCCAAGUUGGAAAGUUGUAAAAGACUAGAAGACUUGGAACGGCAUAAAUAAAUUUAAAGACUUUUUUCUAAAAUUAAACUUUUGUAUUCAUUUGUCUAAAAUAAUUUUUAUAAUAUAUAAAAACAACUUUUGACAAUGGAUCUCUUGGUUCUCGCAACGAUGAAGAACGCAGCAAAAUGCGAUAAGUAAUGUGAAUUGCAGAAUACGUGAAUCAUCGAAUCUUCGAACGCAUAUUGCACUUUUUAGUUUACUAAAAAAGUAUGUCUGUUUGAGUAUCAGUAAAAUAUUCUCAUAAAAUUUUUAAUUUAUGGUUAUGAGUGUUUUACAACGAUAAACAAGUUGUUUCACUUUAAAUUGAAUUUUUUGAAGAAAUUCUUAAUUCAAAUUAAAUUUGGAUAAAAUUUUCCCGUAAAAGGAAUAACUAUACAAGUUUAAUAAGAAUUUAGUGAUUUCUUUUAUGAAAAGGAAAUUUAUUAAAUAACUUGAUCUCAAAUCAGAUAAGAGUACCCGCUGAACUUAAGCGUAUCAAUAAGCGGAGGAAAAGAAACUAACAAGGAUUCCCUAGUAACGGCGAGUGAAGCGGGAAGAGCUCAAAUUUGAAAUCUUAAAGGGUUUCCCUUUACGAAUUGUAGUUUAAAGAAGUGUUUCUGUUGAGGUUUUGGUAAAAGUUCUUUGGAAUAGGACAUCAUAGAGGGUGAGAAUCCCGUAUUUGACCUUUACUUUCAACUUUGUGAUACACUUUCAAAGAGUCGGAUUGUUUGGGAAUGCAGUCCAAAAUGGGUGGUAAGUUUCAUCUAAAGCUAAAUAUUGGCGAGAGACCGAUAGCGAACAAGUACCGUGAGGGAAAGAUGAAAAGAACUUUGAAAAGAGAGUUAAACAGUACGUGAAAUUGUCAAAAGGGAAGCGUUUGACACCAGUGUUGUUUUUCUGAAAAUCAAUUAAAGAACUGUUUAUGCUAAGUUGUUUAGACUUUAUCAGCUAACUGUUUAGUUUUGAGCUUUUCUUUAAUGCACUUUUCAGUUAACAGUCAACAUCAAUUUCUUUUGCUGUAAAAAAGCUUGAGGAAGGUGGCUUGAGAUUCGUCUUAAGUGUUUAUAGCCUCUUGCCUAUGCAGUCGGAAAGAUUGAGGUCUGCAGCGUAGAUCCUUCGGGGCUAAAUGCACUUGUGCUAAGUUAUAGCAUUUUAUAGACAACUUGUUGACUAUGAUUUGUCUUGUAGCUUACUCGCUUAUGUUAUUU
rnacentral:misc_RNA from 1 species